rnacentral:rRNA from 1 species
CCUACGGGAGGCUGCAGUCGCGAAAACUUCACACUGGGGGCAACCCCGAUGAGGGAAUUCCUAGUGCUAGGACAUUUGUUCUAGCUUUUCUCUAGCGUAGAUAACUAGAGGAAUAAGGGCUGGGUAAGACGGGUGCCAGCCGCCGCGGUAAUACCUGCAGCCCAAGUGGUGGUCGAUUCUAUUGAGUCUAAAGCGUUCGUAGCCGGUUUGAUAAAUCCUUGGGUAAAUCGGGAAGCUUAACUUUCCGACUUCCGAGGAGACUGUCAAACUUGGGACCGGGAGAGGCUAGAGGUACUUCUGGGGUAGGGGUAAAAUCCUGUAAUCCUAGAAGGACCACCGGUGGCGAAGGCGUCUAGCUAGAACGGAUCCGACGGUGAGGGACGAAGCCCUGGGUCGCAAACGGGAUUAGAUACCCGAGUAGUC